AGCGUGCCCCGCGCUCCACCAAGCCGCGACAGGGAGGCGGGGAGGGUGCGUGCGAACAUGACGCAGAGAUCCAUUACUGCGCGCGGCGGGGAAGAGGACGCCGCCGGGAGCUGGUGCGUGACACACUGCAGCCUCGCGGGCUGCCCGGGACUUCAUCAAGCCCGGGUCGGCUCGGGGCGGGCAGGGGUAGGAUCCAUACCGCCGAACUGCGGCCCCGCUGCUCGCAGCCGCUCUUCCGGGAGCGCCCGCUUAGGACUCACUCCCGCCCAUUCCUUACCUCGAUGGAAUCCUUAGCCCUUAGAGAGAGGGCUAAAAAACAAAUAAACAAACAACAGACAAACAAAAAAAAAACCAAAUUCCAAAUGGCCCCCGGACCCUCCCGCAGAUGCAGGGCGCACACUGGCCAGUUCUAACCAUAGACUUGACUGCAUGUUGACAAGGGUUUCCAACCUAGCUUCCCCGAGGUACUGCAUGAAUCAGUCCUUGCUCAGAUGGUGGUUGCUGUAAAUAGCUGCAAUUUCCCUCCUUCCGUCUCAAAGCACGGAUGGGAAUGGAUUUGCAGCAGGGACUCUGCAUUAUAUUUAAGGUCUUGGUGAGAUGGACACGGGCUCCAUCAGCUCCAGACUUCCUGGGACAUCUCGGCAUUUCCAGGUCCGUUUGCCCCAAUGGUGGAAGUCACCGCCCAUAUAUGAGGAAAUAAAUGUCCACACCUAGCAUUUGGGAUAACGUGGCUAAAUUGUUUUCAGUUUUUGAAAGACGCUGCAGAAAAAGAGGCAAAACCUGAUACAGCACAGCAGCAUGCCCCUCCCGCCCCCAAAUACGAGAUCGAAUCACAUUUUUAAGGGAAAAAAUAGGCAUUCUCAUCUUAGAUAUGUAUGUAGCAUAUUUUAUAAUAUAUAUUUUUAUCUAAAAAUUAUGCUUUUCUGUAUUUUACAACUUUCUUUAUUAAGCAUUUUUAUUUUGUGCUAUUUUUUACAGUAAAAACUCUGAAGACCCAAAGAAAUUUAAUAUUAGCUUAAAUGUACAUUAGAUAUAUUUAUAGAAUCAAUUUAUUAGCUGCUAUAUUGUUUGACAUAAAAGGCUUUUGAACUAAAGAUAGAAAUGGAAGCAUUCUUCAUUUAGAAACAACCUUUCUCCUCUUCUUCCAACUCUUGUUGGCUUACCUCCAAAAUAUAUCCUGCAUCUGUCUUUCUCACCACCUAGACUGCUCCUAGUUUAGUUACUGGUCACCCUUCAUCAUCAUUCACCUGGAUUGCAAAAAUAGCCUCUUGUCUGGUUUUCCUGAAUUCAUUUUCUCCCCACUGCAGUCCUCACUUGCCACAUAGCAUUUUAAAAGAUUGCUCUUUUAAAAUGGAAAUCAAAUCCUAUCUCUUCUCUUUUUAGAACCUUCAGUGCCUUCCCAUGGCACCUUGAUUAGACCCCAAGUUCUUCACCAUAGCCAAAAUGUAAUGUGCCAUCUGCCCCAUCCACCCUCGCUCAUCGCUCCUCAUCUCAUAUCACUUUUUCACUUGUCACAGCAUGCUUUUACAUAUCCCUUCUUUCAGAUCCAAAGCCCCACAAGCUUAUUUCUGUCUCCUAAUCCCAGCUCUUGCUAUUCAUUCAGUGUGGAAGAUCUCCUUCAUAAAUUCUUCGCAAAUCUACUUCAUUCUUAUUCCAGCCUCAGCUCAGGUAUCAGAGCUGACCACCUUCUGUCCCAACCCUCAACUGUACUCAUUAUCACAUUACCCUAUUCCAUUUCAACACAGUAAUUAAUUGACAUUAUUUUAUAUAUCCAUGGCAUUACCAGGGUGUUCUCUGUCUCCACACACUAGAAUGUAAGCCCCAUGAAAACAGGCUCCUUGUCUUUCUUGUACACCGUGAUCUCUCUGGGUUCUAGAAUAGUGCCUGGUCCAUAGUUGGAAAUCAGUAAGUAUUGAUUAAAUAAAUUAUUGAGUGUGAUUUCCUAGUGUCUUGUUUGUAAAAUGCCACUAAUAGCAUUCUGCAUACUCUGCCAUGAGUUUUAUAGUUAUUUUUAUGCCCAUAUGCUUCCUCCUCUCUAGUGUGAACUCUACGAGGCAGGAUCAUAUUUAGUUCAUUUUAUUCUCCAUGUCCUUAUGGAGUCUGGCACAUUACAGAUGUUUAAUACAUUUUCUGGACUGAGUUGCAAUGAGUAAAUGGGUAAUAAGAUGAUAUAGUAUGACUUUACACCAAGUCUAACCUUUCACCUGGGGACAUGCAAAAUUAUUAUGUAUCCAGAGGAACAGGUUGUUGCUUUGACCCCUGUAACAUCGCAUACACAUACACAUGGACACACAUACACUUGUUCUCGAUAUUUUCAAAGACUGUUCAUAUCCAUUAUUUUAUUUGAUCUCCAAGCUGGUAUGUAUAAGCAGAAGCUCAGGGGCAUUAAUUGACCUGCUCAAGCUUACAUAGCUAAUAUAAAGCAGAGACAGGGAUAGAGCUUACUACUUUCAAACACCCACAAAUAUGCAC
rnacentral:lncRNA from 1 species